rnacentral:rRNA from 1 species
GAAAUCCACUCGCCUAACGAGUGGGCGUCCGGCGGAAACUCCAGGGCUUGGGACCGGAAGACUUGAGGGGUACGUCUGGGGUAGGAGUGAAAUCCUGUAAUCCUGGACGGACCGCCGAUAGCGAAAGCACCUCAAGACGACGGAUCCGACAGUGAGGGACGAAAGCUAGGGUCUCGAACCGGAUUAGAUACCCGGGUAGU